AGCGAACGCUGGCGGCAGGCUUAACACAUGCAAGUCGAGCGGGCAUCCUUGUGGUGUCAGCGGCAGACGGGUGAGUAACGCGUGGGAACGUGCCCUUCGGUUCGGAAUAACACAGGGAAACUUGAGCUAAUACCGGAUACGCCCUUUUGGGGAAAGGUUUACUGCCGAAGGAUCGGCCCGCGUCUGAUUAGCUAGUUGGUGAGGUUAUGGCUCACCAAGGCGACGAUCAGUAGCUGGUCUGAGAGGAUGAUCAGCCACACUGGGACUGAGACACGGCCCAGACUCCUACGGGAGGCAGCAGUGGGGAAUAUUGGACAAUGGGGGCAACCCUGAUCCAGCCAUGCCGCGUGAGUGAUGACGGCCUUAGGGUUGUAAAGCCCUUUUCUCCGGGACGAUAAUGACGGUACCGGAGGAAUAAGCCCCGGCUAACUUCGUG
rnacentral:rRNA from 1 species